GCAGCCGCGGUAAUUCCAGCUCCAAUAGCGUAUAUUAAAGUUGUUGCAGUUAAAAAGCUCGUAGUUGAAUUUCGGGGUUAGUAGGUUGGUCAUGCCUCUGGUAUGUACUGGUCUCACUGAUUCCUCCCUCUUGACGAACUGUAAUGUCAUUAAUUUGGUGUUGCAGGAAAUCAGGACUGUUACUUUGAAAAAAUUAGAGUGUUUAAAGCAGGCUAAGGCUUGAAUACAUUAGCAUGGAAUAAUGAAAUAGGACGUUUGAUCCUAUUUUGUUGGUUUCUAGGAUUGACGUAAUGAUUAAUAGGGAUAGUUGGG
rnacentral:rRNA from 1 species